GGCGCAUUCGUCUAGUGGCCAAGGACGCCGCCCUCUCAAGGCGGAGAUCACGGGUUCGACUCCCGUAUGCGCUACCA
rnacentral:tRNA from 3 species